GUAUUCCUGACCGUGCGAAGGUAGCAUAAUCAUUAGUUUUAUAAUUGGAGGNUUGUAUGAAUGGUUGGAUGAAAAAUAAUCUGUCUCUUAGUUGAAACCUGAAUUUAACAUUUAAGUGAAAAGGCUUAAAUACAGUAAAAAGACGACAUGACCCUAUAAAUCUUUACAUUACUUCUAAGUUUAAGAAUAAAUAUAAGUAAAAUGUUUUUAGAUUUUUUAUAAUGUUUUGUUGGGGCAACAUAGAUAGCAAAUAUUAUCUGUCUACAAAAAUUACAAAAGAUUUUUGAGUAAAAAAAUAAGAUCCUUUYUAGAGAUUGCAAGAUUAAGUUACUUUAGGGAUAACAGCGUUAUUUUACUUGAGAGUUCAUAUCGAAAGUAAAGUUUGCGACUUCGAUGUUGAAUUAAAAUUUCUCUAUGG
rnacentral:rRNA from 1 species